rnacentral:rRNA from 1 species
GACGAACGCUGGCGGCGUGCUUAACACAUGCAAGUCGAGCGAGGCCCUCUCUUCGGAGGGGUGUCCUAGCGGCGAACGGGUGAGUAACACGUGGGCAACCUGCCCUCAGCUCUGGGAUAACUCCGGGAAACCGGGGCUAAUACCGGAUAUGACCUGCCUGGGCAUCUUGGUGGGUGGAAAGUUUUUCGGCUGAGGAUGGGCCCGCGGCCUAUCAGCUUGUUGGUGGGGUGAUGGCCUACCAAGGCGACGACGGGUAGCCGGCCUGAGAGGGUGACCGGCCACACUGGGACUGAGACACGGCCCAGACUCCUACGGGAGGCAGCAGUGGGGAAUAUUGCGCAAUGGGCGAAAGCCUGACGCAGCGACGCCGCGUGAGGGACGAAGGCCUUCGGGUUGUAAACCUCUUUCAGCAGGGACGAAGCGAAAGUGACGGUACCUGCAGAAGAAGCACCGGCCAACUACGUGCCAGCAGCCGCAGUAAAAC